CUUCUUGAAAAACAGUCACUUACACGCUUUUAUUUUGAAGUAAAUUUAAAGAUGGUGAUCUAGAAACCACAAGUAUUUCCGGGCUGCAGACGUUCUGAAAAAGAGCAAGGAAUGAAUAUUUAAAAGAUGUUCACAGAACACCAUGUGGGCCAUGUCAUCGUUCCCAUCUCCUGGGAUUUGUUUUCCUACUUAAGAAGUUGAGAGUGGAUUUAUUGUUGCUGAAGAGCAUGGAGUGGUCUUGUGAUCACAGAAUGCAGCCCUUUGAGACGCAGAAAUGGUGCUGUCCCAACUGUGAUUUCCAGGACAGCGAUGCAGCAUCAUAAAAGAACAGUGUUGAGUUUUUCCUACAAAAUACAACAUCUUCAUUAGAGGUGGAAUAUGCCUUAGAAGUUCCUAUUGGCUAACAUGUCAACAUCUGAGCAGACAGAAGGAUAUUCUGAGUCUUCAAGUCAUGAUGAAGUAAAGGAGGAGUCAUAUUGUGCAGGAGUUAGCAGUCCCCUGGAGGAGGCUGUAGAAUGUCCAGUGAGCUGCAAAUUUGAGUGCCAGAGUAUCUGCUGGGGUGUGGGAAGAAAAUGUUAGAUUUCUACUUAUAUUCAUUUCUCAACAAAAAUAAACGAGAAAUUAUGAUUUAUUAA